rnacentral:rRNA from 1 species
AGCUUGCUCCCUGGAAGUUAGUGGCGGACGGGUGAGUAACGCGUGAGCAACCUGCCUGUGUGAGGGGAAUAACAACCGGAAACAGUUGCUAAUACCGCAUAACGCAUAGAGACCGCAUGAUCUUUAUGCCAAAGAAAUUCGCACACAGAUGGGCUCGCGUUGGAUUAGAUAGUUGGCGGGGUAACGGCCCACCAAGUCGACGAUCCAUAGCCGGACUGAGAGGCUCAACGGCCACAUUGGGACUGAGAUACGGCCCAGACUCC